rnacentral:rRNA from 1 species
AUUGAACGCUGGCGGCAUGCUUUACACAUGCGAGUCGAACGGUAACAGGCCGCCAGGUGCUGACGAGUGGCGAACGGGUGAGUAAUGCAUCGGAACGUGCCCAGUCGUGGGGGAUAACUACUCGAAAGAGUAGCUAAUACCGCAUACGAUCUAUGGAUGAAAGCGGGGGACCGUAAGGCCUCGCGCGAUUGGAGCGGCCGAUGUCAGAUUAGGUAGUUGGUGGGGUAAAGGCUCACCAAGCCAACGAUCUGUAGCUGGUCUGAGAGGACGACCAGCCACACUGGGACUGAGACACGGCCCAGACUCCUACGGGAGGCAGCAGUGGGGAAUUUUGGACAAUGGGCGCAAGCCUGAUCCAGCAAUGCCGCGUGCAGGAAGAAGGCCUUCGGGUUGUAAACUGCUUUUGUACGGAACGAAACGGCUCUGGUUAAUACCCGGGGCUAAUGACGGUACCGUAAGAAUAAGCACCGGCUAACUACGUG